rnacentral:rRNA from 1 species
AGCGUUGUCCGGAUUUAUUGGGUUAAAAGGGUGAGUAGGCGGGUUAUAAAGUCAGUGGGGAAAGCCUUCAGCUUAACUGAAGAACUGCCAUUGAUACUGAUGAUCUUGAGUAUGAUUGAGGUUGGCGGAAUGUGUCAUGUAGCGGUAAAAUGCUUAGAUAUGACACAGAACACCGAUUGCGAAGGCAGCUAACUAAGCCAUAACUGACGCUGCUGCACGAAAGCGUGGGGAGCAAACAGG